rnacentral:lncRNA from 1 species
CGUGCAGGUCCGUUACAUAGGUAUACAUGUGCCAUGGUGGUUUGCUGAACCCAUCAACCCAUCAUCUUCAAAGAUAAGGCCUUCAGUAUAUCAAGAUCAGUGGAUCAAAGAAACAUCCUCAAGAAACUAAGAAACAACACAAGAUUCUCUCUGAUGAAAUGCUUAAGUAUAAGGAAAAUGACGGAAGACACAGAAGAGCAGCAGAAGUGGGUAGAAGACUACUACAGAUGCCAGAGCGCCACUUCUGAAAGAAAGGCUCACGACAACUGGGUAAGUUUUUUUUUUUUCUUUCCUUGCUUUUGGACAUAAUCUGCCAGGUCAGGACGUGGAUGUAUUUUUCUCCCCCACAGCUCUGUGUUUAAGCCUCGCAGAGGGAGAUGCAAGAGAAGAAGGCUGCCUACAAGCAGCACAGGAAAUGAUUGAAAAACAGAGAGUGCUGGAGAGACACAUUAGUCAGGAGCCAGCUAGUGGACAACCAGGCAUAGAGAAUCAUCCCCAAAGAGGUCAAUAUGGCUUUGGGAGGGCCCCUUUUUCAGGAUUGCCCUACUUGCUCUACUGCAUGGCUGGCUCUUCAGGACCAUUUGUGGGCUGCCAGACACCUCCUCUGCCUGGGUGGCCUCUGGGAACACGACCACUGCCUCCAUGCACACCACUUGGACAAGCUGAAAUUUGAAGAGGCCCCUGAGCUCUGACAGCCAUGCUGUGGCUCCUACAUAACUUGGAAAAGUAUCCAAUACAUUUUACGCUGCCUGCCCAGUGCUGCCUCAUCUGUCUCUAAUCUUCUGUAGUGUUUCCCCUAAUAAAGGUUUG